AGAGUUUGAUCAUGGCUCAGAUUGAACGCUGGCGGAAUGCUUUACACAUGCAAGUCGAACGGCAGCAUGGAGAGCUUGCUCUCUGAUGGCGAGUGGCGAACGGGUGAGUAAUAUAUCGGAACGUGCCUAGUAAUGGGGAAUAACUAGCUGAAAGGUUAGCUAAUGCCGCAUACGACCUACGGGUGAAAGCAGGGGAUCUUCGGACCUUGCGUUAUUAGAGCGGCCGAUAUCUGAUUAGCUUGUUGGUGGGGUAAUGGCCUACCAAGGCGACGAUCAGUAGCUGGUCUGAGAGGACGAUCAGCCACACUGGAACUGAGACACGGUCCAGACUCCUACGGGAGGCAGCAGUGGGGAAUUUUGGACAAUGGGGGAAACCCUGAUCCAGCCAUUCCGCGUGAGUGAAGAAGGCCUUCGGGUUGUAAAGCUCUUUCGCAAGAGAAGAAAACUUGCUAUCUAAUAAAUAGUAAG
rnacentral:rRNA from 1 species